GUCACGGUGGAAAAAUGGCGAACGGUCGAACAGGCCGUACGUUUGAUGGUACACCGAGAGGAAGCACCGGCUAACUUCGUGC
rnacentral:rRNA from 1 species